AAUAUCGAUACUUUGGUAUUUUUAAGAGUACAACAAUUGUCCAAAGUCACGAGAAUAGCUUCCCAUGAGAAUAUCGUUGCGAAUUUCGAGUGUCAGGAUAACAGAAGACUAAGGGGAGAACACGAGGAAGAGGACGACACGCGAAGGUCCUUUCCGCUAUGAUCGUGGUGUUAAAGAUCUUUUACCUAAAUACAAGGACAUCGGACAAAGUUCGAUUAGAACCCUCUUUGUGGUUCCUCGAAACGUUGCUCCUUGAACUUUCUGCUCUCCUGGGACGGAGAGGUCACACGGUAGCCUUACCCGCAUUCCCGUGGGAUCCCAUUGGCAUCCCUAAUGGAAAGGACGAAGAUGGUAAAAUAGGAACGACACACUUCUGGACUCGUAGAUUAUACCAGGAUACACGUGACGUAUCCAUCGGCGAUUUAGCUGGGGAUAUACGGUCUUCGGGUUACCAGGAUGCCAGGACACCGAAGGAUCCGCGAAAAUUCUUCUUCUUUCUCGUCGACGCUAAACCUACUGUUUGUUGACACUGAGAAGGAGACAUCAGGAAUCGUGGGAGAUCCAAGGGAAACUUCAUUUAUGUAACCCUGAUAGGAAAAAUCCUACCAAAUCUGGAUAAAUCCGUGAACGAGAUGGAUAAGUUUAAUCGUACAUGAACGCGAUUCUUACUUCUUGUUUAAUCUAUUAACAUUCCAUCUUGAAUUUCACGCCAUUAAGAAGUAAUCGUAAAUGAAAGAAACGAUGAGAGUAAUCGAACAAGUUCUAUCUUAAGAUCGUCGUUAAAAUCCCGCUUUUCCACCUAUCCACUCCUCAUAACGAGUGAGAAAUUUUUUACAUAUUUUUAUGGUAUUUUCAAGAUUUAUUUGUUUAUUCACUUCUUAUAAAAAUGUAAAGAAUAUAACAAAUUAUUAAUAAUAUAAUUG